rnacentral:rRNA from 1 species
GACGAACGCUGGCGGCGUGCCUAAUACAUGCCAGUAGAACGCUGAAGAGAGGAGCUUGCUCUUCUUGGAUGAGUUGCGAACGGGUGAGUAACGCGUAGGUAACCUGCCUUGUAGCGGGGGAUAACUAUUGGAAACGAUAGCUAAUACCGCAUAACAAUGGAUGACACAUGUCAUUUAUUUGAAAGGGGCAAUUGCUCCACUACAAGAUGGACCUGCGUUGUAUUAGCUAGUAGGUGAGGUAAUGGCUCACCUAGGCGACGAUACAUAGCCGACCUGAGAGGGUGAUCGGCCACACUGGGACUGAGACACGGCCCAGACUCCUACGGGAGGCAGCAGUAGGGAAUCUUCGGCAAUGGGGGCAACCCUGACCGAGCAACGCCGCGUGAGUGAAGAAGGGUUUCGGAUCGGAAAGCUCUGUUGUAAGUCAAGAACGGGUGUGAGAGUGGAAAGUUCACACUGUGACGGUAGCUUACCAGAAAGGGACGGCUAACUACGUG